GAUGAACGCUGGCGGCGUGCCUAAUGCAUGCAAGUCGAGCGAACAGACGAGGAGCUUGCUCCUCUGACGUUAGCGGCGGACGGGUGAGUAACACGUGGAUAACCUACCUAUAAGACUGGGAUAACUUCGGGAAACCGGAGCUAAUACCGGAUAAUAUAUUGAACCGCAUGGUUCAAUAGUGAAAGACGGUUUUGCUGUCACUUAUAGAUGGAUCCGCGCCGCAUUAGCUAGUUGGUAAGGUAACGGCUUACCAAGGCAACGAUGCGUAGCCGACCUGAGAGGGUGAACGGCCACACUGGAACUGAGACACGGUCCAGACUCCUACGGGAGGCAGCAGUAGGGAAUCUUCCGCAAUGGGCGAAAGCCUGACGGAGCAACGCCGCGUGAGUGAUGAAGGUCUUCGGAUCGUAAAACUCUGUUAUUAGGGAAGAACAAAUGUGUAAGUAACUAUGCACGUCUUGACGGUACCUAAUCAGAAAGCCACGGCUAACUACGUG
rnacentral:rRNA from 1 species